rnacentral:rRNA from 1 species
UAACGCGUGGGAAUCUGCCCGUGAGUGCGGGAUAACCGAGGGAAACUUCGGCUAAUACCGGAUGGGCCCCGGGCAACUGGGGGAAAGAUUUAUCGCUCUAGGAGGGGCCCGCGUCGGAUUAGCUAGUUGGUGAGGUAACGGCUCACCAAGGCGAUGAUCCGUAGCUGGUCUGAGAGGAUGAUCAGCCACACUGGGACUGAGACACGGCCCAGACUCCUACGGGAGGCAGCAGUGGGGAAUAUUGGACAAUGGGGGCAACCCUGAUCCAGCAAUGCCGCGUGAGUGAUGAAGGCCUUAGGGUUGU